CAUAUUCCACUUCCCAGGAACCAUACUGAACCUUAAUGAGUAAUUUUCCAGCUCAUGACUGAUUUGUUAGUCUUCUGAAAUAAAAAAAAUCUCUGUGUAUCAUGGAGCUUUCUGUGCUUACUUACUAAUAUGCUCUAAUUUUUUUUUCCUUGGGAAGACUUUUGGGGAUUGACAUAAAAUGGAAAAGAGUGAGUAAAACCAGAAAUAAUGCCAGGGCCAGAUAGAAUACAGAGGCCUGCACACUGGCUUACCUUUCAUUCUUGAAGUACCUUUUCUUGCUGACUUUCUAUCCUCCUGCCCUUAACUCCUAUUGCCCUCAGUGUUGGAAAAGUACCAGAUUGAGUUUGCUCUAAAUCCUUGCUCUACUUUUCCUUUACUUGGCUGUGUAAAACUGAGUCAUUUGCUUCCACAUUCUUGAUCUCUGCUUUCUUGAGUAAGUUAUGGUCAAGAAACUUUGUUCAAAUGAACCUUCUUCAGGAAAAGUCCUACAACGAAAAUAGGCAGAAGGUCACAUGCUUGGAGCAGAGCAGAGGACAUUUCCUACUUCUACACUCCAGAGGGUUUCGGUCUUGCCAGAAGAAAUUUGAGAGAAGGUCGCAAAGUGGCUGAGGAAUUCACUAACACGACAUGAGGGCACUUUGCACAGGUGGAGAAUGUAUCCUGAGGACCUAAGCCUAAGAAUCUUCAAGAUGGGAGAGUAGAGUGAGCAAGGAUUGAGCACAAGGGCUCUUGUCCUUGGCGUGCAGCUC
rnacentral:lncRNA from 1 species